UUGGGGACUAGGCUCACAUCACUUUUGCACUUUGAUAAUCUUGGUUCUUUAAGUCAGGAUGCUGUAGCUAAGCUAGCUCAACAGUUCAAGCUAAACAUUGCUCUCCAACAAGGGGUGGCUCCAGCCCCUGGAGCCACCCCACUUGAGUCUUCCUACGCCACUGCAUAAUACCCCCUACGGCCUGUGUGUUGUAUAUACGUACGUAACCUUAGCAACUACAACUAGUCUACUGAUUUUUCACAAUAACUGGAUCCGGAUCAGGAGUGCAAGAUACAUCUAUAGUAUACUAUACUGUACGUACUGGACUAUACAUCCUUCAGUGACUUGACAUGCAGAGAUGGUCGCCGGUCAUUCGGUGUUCGCAAGGGUUGAGGAGCUAUAAUAAUGUAGAAACGUAUGGCGAUGG